CCUACGGGCGGCAGCAGUGGGGAAUAUUGGACAAUGGGGGGAACCCUGAUCCAGCCAUGCCGCGUGUGUGAAGAAGGCCCUCGGGUUGUAAAGCACUUUCAGUGAGGAAGAACGCCUGGUGGUUAAUACCCAUCAGGAAAGACAUCACUCACAGAAGAAGCACCGGCUAACUCCGUGCCAGCAGCCGCGGUAAUACGGAGGGUGCGAGCGUUAAUCGGAAUUACUGGGCGUAAAGCGCGCGUAGGUGGCUUGAUAAGCCGGUUGUGAAAGCCCCGGGCUCAACCUGGGAACGGCAUCCGGAGCUGUCAAGCUAGGGUGCAGGAGAGGAAGGUAGAAUUCCCGGUGUAGCGGUGAAAUGCGUAGAGAUCGGGAGGAAUACCAGUGGCGAAGGCGGCCUUCUGGACUGACACUGACACUGAGGUGCGAAAGCGUGGGUAGCAAACAGGAUUAGAUACCCUUGUAGUC
rnacentral:rRNA from 1 species